rnacentral:misc_RNA from 1 species
UUUGUAUGGCGUUUGACCAGAGGUUUUAUAAUUAACAUGUCAAUCCCUUACAAUUAUCUGUUUGGACUGAUUCUCAUUUAGGGAGGGUGAGGUGACCAGUGAGCACUUUUUUGUGCAAUUUAAGAAAUAAAAUUUUUAACUUGUAAUACUUGUCAGAUUUAUCUGAUGUUGAAGUAAAUGUUUGAAUUCAUUGUAUCUAGUUUCAUUGCUUGGUUGAUGUGAUUUUAUUUGUGAUUUGCAGUGCCUGCUAGUGAAGGGUUGGA